rnacentral:rRNA from 1 species
GACGAACGCUGGCGGCGUGCUUAACACAUGCAAGUCGAACGGGCCUGUCUUCUUUUUUGGGGGUGGGUUGAGUGGCGAACGGGUGAGUAUCACGUGAGUAACCUGCCCUUCGGUCCUGGAUAACCGCUUGAAAGGGCGGCUAAUACGGGGUGGUCCGGUUGGUCCGCAUGGGCUGGUCGGGAUAGAUUCACUGUUUUUGGUGUUUCGGCGGGGGAUGGGCUCGCGGCCUAUCAGCUUGUUGGUGGGGUGAUGGCCUACCAAGGCGGUGACGGGUAGCCGGCCUGGGAGGGUGGGCGGCCACACUGGGACUGAGAUACGGCCCAGACUCCUGCGGGAGGCAGCAGUGGGGGGUAUUGCACAAUGGGCGGAAGCCUGAUGCAGCGACGUCGCGUGAGGGAUGGAGGCCUUCGGGUUGUGAACCUCUGUUUCCGGUGGUGAAGGCCCUGUCCGUGUGGUGGGGUUGACGGUAGCCGGGGAUGAAGCGCCGGCUAACUACGUG